UACGUAGGGUGCAGGCGUUAAUCGGAAUUACUGGGCGUAAAGGGCUCGUAGGUGGCCAACUAAGUCAGACGUGAAAUCCCUCGGCUUAACCGGGGAACUGCGUCUGAUACUGGAUGGCUUGAGAUUGGGAGAGGGAUGCGGAAUUCCAGGUGUAGCGGUGAAAUGCGUAGAUAUCUGGAGGAACACCGGUGGCGAAGGCGGCAUCCUGGACCAACACUGACGCUGAGGAGCGAAAGCCGGGGGAGCAAACGGG
rnacentral:rRNA from 1 species